rnacentral:misc_RNA from 1 species
UGAGUGGUGUUUGGUUUGUUACGGGUGGUUGGCUCUUUGCUUGCGCAACAACUUCUACCUGGCAUACCUCUUCAGUCUUGUGUCAAUGCUUGUAUUGCAUUGAAUGCACGGUGGGUUUCUUGUGUUGCAUGCCUAAUUUAAUGGUAUUGCUUGAUGUAUUGGUUUUCCUUUUGUUUUGCAUUGCCUAUGCGAUGUGAGAUGAACCUUGAAGCAGCCUUUGUGAUCCACUGAUUUGAUGUAUAUGCAUUGAUUUUGUGGCCCAUUGAGUGUUGCUCGAUCUCAUGGAUAUGGAACCUGGUGUGGGCAUGGAAUCUUAAUGGUUCCUUGUUUGCCCAAGUUUAGCUUUUCUAAAACGAUUGUCUAUCAUGUGUUAACAUGCUAGACUACUUCGAAUAUGAAUGCUACCUGGUUGAUCC